UACGAAGGGGGCUAGCGUUGUUCGGAUUUACUGGGCGUAAAGCGUACGUAGGCGGAUUGUUAAGUGAGAGGUGAAAUCCCAGGGCUCAACCCUGGAACUGCCUUUCAUACUGGUAAUCUUGAGUUCGGAAGAGGUGAGUGGAAUUCCUAGUGUAGAGGUGAAAUUCGUAGAUAUUAGGAAGAACACCGGUGGCGAAGGCGGCUCACUGGUCCGAUACUGACGCUGAGGUACGAAAGCGUGGGGAGCAAACAGG
rnacentral:rRNA from 1 species